GGCUGGGGGUGCACAAGCAGCUGGGAAGGGACAGGACACCUGACCCAAACUAGCCAAAGGGUUAUUCCAUACCACAGCAUGUCAUGCCCAGUACAUAAACU